rnacentral:rRNA from 1 species
UACAGAGGGCUCAAGCGUUGUUCGGAGUCAUUGGGCGUAAAGGGCGUGUAGGUGGCGCCGUAAGUCGGGUGUGAAAUUUAGGAGCUUAACUCCGAAACUGCAUUCGAUACUGCGGUGCUUGAGGACUGGAGAGGAGGCUGGAAUUCAUGGUGUAGCAGUGAAAUGCGUAGAGAUCAUGAGGAAGACCAGUGGCGAAGGCGGGUCUCUGGACAGUUCCUGACACUGAGACACGAAGGCCAGGGGAGCAAACGGG